rnacentral:ncRNA from 1 species
AAAGAGUGCGUAAUAGCUCACUAGUCGAAUGACACUGCGCCGAAAAUGUACCGGGGCUAAACAUGAAACCGAAGCUGUGGAUUUUAUAGAUAAUAUAAAAUGGUAGGGGAGCGUUCUAAUUGCGACGAAGAUGGAUCGUGAGGACUGUUGGAGCGAUUAGAAGUGAGAAUGCCGGUGUGAGUAGCGCAAGAAGGGUGAGAAUCCCUUCCACCGUUUGCCUAAGGGUUCCUGGGGAAGGUUCGUCCUCCCAGGGUAAGUCGGGUCCUAAGACGAGGCCGAAAGGCGUAGCCGAUGGACAACAGGUUGAUAUUCCUGUACCACCUAUAUAACUGAUGGAGUGACGAAGGAGGCUAUAGAAAGCCAGUUAAUGGAUUCUGGUCUAAGCACAAAGGUGUACAUAUAGGCAAAUCCGUAUGUAAUGUAGCUGAAGUGUUAUGGUGAAGGUAAUAGCGAUAUUACUGAAAUUUCUAGACGCCAAACUUCCAAGAAAAGCUUCUAGGGUUAAUUAUAUAGGUGCCCGUACCCAGAACCGACACAGGUAGGCAAGGAGAGUAUCCUAAGGUGAGC